rnacentral:rRNA from 1 species
GAGUUUGAUCAUGGCUCAGGAUGAACGCUGGCGGCGUGCCUAACACAUGCAAGUCGAACGGAUCCAUAUUGAAACCUAGUGAUGUAUGGAUUAGUGGCGGACGGGUGAGUAACGCGUGGAUAACCUGCCGUAUACAGGGGGAUAACACUUAGAAAUAGGUGCUAAUACCGCAUAAGCGCACGGUUCCGCAUGGAACAGUGUGAAAAACUUCGGUGGUAUACGAUGGAUCCGCGUCUGAUUAGCCAGUUGGCGGGGUAACGGCCCACCAAAGCGACGAUCAGUAGCCGGCCUGAGAGGGUGAACGGCCACAUUGGGACUGAGACACGGCCCAAACUCCUACGGGAGGCAGCAGUGGGGAAUAUUGCACAAUGGGGAAAACCCUGAUGCAGCGACGCCGCGUGAGUGAAGAAGUAUCUCGGUACGUAAAGCUCUAUCAGCAGGGAAGAAAAUGACGGUACCUGAUUAAGAAGCCCCGGCUAACUACGUGCCAGCAGCCGCGGUAAUACGUAGGGGGCAAGCGUUAUCCGGAUUUACUGGGUGUAAAGGGAGCGUAGACGGCAGCGCAAGUCUGGAGUGAAAUGUCGGGGCCCAACCCCGGAACUGCUUUGGAAACUGUGCAGCUCGAGUGCAGGAGAGGUAAGCGGAAUUCCUAGUGUAGCGGUGAAAUGCGUAGAUAUUAGGAGGAACACCAGUGGCGAAGGCGGCUUACUGGACUGUAACUGACGUUGAGGCUCGAAAGCGUGGGGAGCAAACAGGAUUAGAUACCCUGGUAGUCCACGCCGUAAACGAUGAUUACUAGGUGUCGGGGGGCCAAGGCCCUCCGGUGCCGGCGCAAACGCAUUAAGUAAUCCACCUGGGGAGUACGUUCGCAAGAAUGAAACUCAAAGGAAUUGACGG